CAGCACCUCAAGUGGUCAGGAUGAUUAUUGGGCCUAAAGCGUCCGUAGCCGGUUUGAUAAAUCUUUUGUGAAAUUGUUAGGCUCAACUUAACAACGUGCAGAAGAGACUGUCGAACUUGGGACUAGAGAGGGGUUAGAAGUAUUUCUAGGGGAGCGGUAAAAUGUUAUAAUCCUAGAAAGACUACCUGUGGCGAAGGCGUCUAACCAGAAUAGAUCCGACGGUGAGGGACGAAAGCUAGGGGAGCGAUCCGGAUUAGAUACCCGCGUAGUCC
rnacentral:rRNA from 1 species